rnacentral:rRNA from 1 species
UGAACGCUGGCGGCGUGCUUAACACAUGCAAGUCGAACGGAGUUUUAACGGAAGUUUCGGAUGGAAGUUAAGAACUAGUGGCGGACGGGUGAGUAACGCGUGGGUAACCUGCCUCAUACAGGGGGAUAACAGUUAGAAAUGACUGCUAACACCGCAUAAUAUAGCGAAACCGCAUGAUUUUGCUAUCAAAUAUUUAUAGGUAUGAGAUGGGCCCGCGUCUGAUUAGCUAGUUGGUGGGGUAAAAGCCUACCAAGGCGACGAUCAGUAGCCGGCUUGAGAGAGUGACCGGCCACAUUGGGACUGAGACACGGCCCAAACUCCUACGGGAGGCAGCAGUGGGGAAUAUUGGACAAUGGGGGAAACCCUGAUCCAGCGAACCGCCGCGUGAGUGAAGAAGUAUUUCGGUAUGUAAAGCUCUAUCAGCAGGGAAGAUAAUGACAGUACCUGACUAAGAAGCCCCGGCUAACUACGUGCCAGCCGCAGC